UACGUAGGGUGCAAGCGUUAAUCGGAAUUACUGGGCGUAAAGCGUGCGUAGGCGGUUAUGUAAGUCAGAUGUGAAAUGCCCGGGCUUAACCUGGGAACUGCAUUUGUGACUGCAUGGCUAGAGUUUGGCAGAGGGGGGUAGAAUUCCACGUGUAGCAGUGAAAUGCGUAGAUAUGUGGAGGAACACCGAUGGCGAAGGCAGCCCCCUGGGUCAAGACUGACGCUCAUGCACGAAAGCGUGGGGAGCAAACAGG
rnacentral:rRNA from 1 species